rnacentral:rRNA from 1 species
GUCGAGCGGAAACAGAGAGUAGCUUGCUACUUUGCUGUCGAGCGGCGGACGGGUGAGUAAUGCCUAGGGAACUGCCCAGUCGUGGGGGAUAACAGUUGGAAACGACUGCUAAUACCGCAUACGCCCUACGGGGGAAAGGAAGGGACCUUCGGGCCUUUCGCGAUUGGAUGUACCUAGGUGGGAUUAGCUAGUUGGUAAGGUAAUGGCUUACCAAGGCGACGAUCCCUAGCUGUUCUGAGAGGAUGAUCAGCCACACUGGGACUGAGACACGGCCCAGACUCCUACGGGAGGCAGCAGUGGGGAAUAUUGCACAAUGGGCGAAAGCCUGAUGCAGCCAUGCCGCGUGUGUGAAGAAGGCCUUCGGGUUGUAAAGCACUUUCAGCGAGGAGGAAAGGUUGGUAGUUAAUAGCUGCCAGCUGUGACGUUACUCGCAGAAGAAGCACCGGCUAACUUCGUGCCAGCAGCCGCGGUAAUACGAGGGGUGCAAGCGUUAAUCGGAAUUACUGGGCGUAAAGCGUACGCAGGCGGUCUGUUAAGCAAGAUGUG